GGAGUCGUGGUGUAAAAGUAGCACAACGGACUUUUAAUCCGUUUAGCGUGGGUGCGAAUCCCGCCGACUCCACCA
rnacentral:tRNA from 1 species